rnacentral:rRNA from 1 species
AGCGAACGCUGGCGGCAGGCCUAACACACGCAAGUCGAACGCCGUAGCAAUACGGAGUGGCAGACGGGUGAGUAACACGUGGGGAUCUGCCCGAUGGUACGGAAUAACUCAGGGAAACUUGUGCUAAUACCGUAUGUGCCCGCAAGGGGAAAGAUUUAUCGCCAUCGGAUGAACCCGCGUCGGAUUAGCUAGUUGGUGUGGUAAAGGCGCACCAAGGCGACGAUCCGUAGCUGGUCUGAGAGGAUGAUCAGCCACACUGGGACUGAGACACGGCCCAGACUCCUACGGGAGGCAGCAGUGGGGAAUAUUGGACAAUGGGCGCAAGCCUGAUCCAGCCAUGCCGCGUGAGUGAUGAAGGCCUUAGGGUUGUAAAGCUCUUUCGCCGACGAAGAUAAUGACGGUAGUCGGAGAAGAAGCCCCGGCUAACUUCGUGCCAGCAGCCGCGGUAACAC